AUUAGAGUAGCGCAGUGGAAGUGUGAUGGACCCAUAACUCACAAGUCCUUGGUUUGAAACCAUGCUCUAAUA